GCCUGGGUGGCUCAGCUGGUUAAGCGUCUGACUUCAGCUCAGGUCAUGAUGUCACAAUCCGUGGGUUCAAGCCCCGCGUUGGGCU
rnacentral:tRNA from 1 species